rnacentral:rRNA from 1 species
GAUGAACGCUGGCGGCGUGCCUAAUACAUGCAAGUCGAGCGAACAGCUGAGGAUCUUGCUCCUCUGCCGUUAGCGGCGGACGGGUGAGUAACACGUGGAUACCCUACCUAUAAGACUGGGAUAACUUCGGGACACCGGAGCUCAUACCGGGUAAUAUAUUCACCCGCAUGGUUCAAUAGUGAAAGACGGUUUUGCUGUCACUUAUAGAUUGAUCCGGGCCUCAUUAGCUAGUUGGUAAGGUAACGGCUUACCAAGGCAACGAUGCGUAGCCGACCUGGGGGGGUGAGCGGGCAGACGGGAACGGAGACACGGUCAAGACGCGUACGGGAGGCAGCAGUAGGGAAUCUUCGGCAAUGGGCGAAAGAAUGAUGGAGCAAGGCGGCGUGAGUGAUGAAGGUCUUCGGAUCGUAAAACUCUGUUAUUAGGGAAGAACAAAUGUGUAAGUAACGAUGCACGUCUUGACGGUACCUAAUCAGAAAGCCACGGCUAACUACGUG